rnacentral:misc_RNA from 1 species
GUAGGUGAACCUGCGGAGGGAUCAUUACUGAGAUAGGGUCUUCCAAGGCCCGACCUCCAACCCAAUGUCUACCAUACCUCUGUUGCCUCGGCGGGCCGCCGGCGCCCUUUACUGGGCGCCGCCGUCGGCUUUAGGGCUUUCGAGCGCCCGCCGCAGGACCAAACAAACUCUUUUUAAAACAAGUCUUCUGACUGGGAAAUUAAAUUUAUUAAAACUUUUAACAACGGAUCUCUUGGUUCUG